rnacentral:tRNA from 1 species
CCUGGUGGCUCAGAUGGUUAAGAAUCUGCCUGUAAUGCAGGAGACCCAGGUUCAAUUCCUGGGUCAGGA